rnacentral:rRNA from 1 species
AAAUGACGGUACCUGACUAAGAAGCACCGGCUAAAUACGUGCCAGCAGCCGCGGUAAUACGUAUGGUGCAAGCGUUAUCCGGAUUUACUGGGUGUAAAGGGAGCGUAGACGGCUGUGUAAGUCUGAAGUGAAAGCCCGGGGCUCAACCCCGGGACUGCUUUGGAAACUAUGCAGCUAGAGUGUCGGAGAGGUAAGUGGAAUUCCCAGUGUAGCGGUGAAAUGCGUAGAUAUUGGGAGGAACACCAGUGGCGAAGGCGGCUUACUGGACGAUGACUGACGUUGAGGCUCGAAAGCGUGGGGAGCAAACAGGAUUAGAUACCCUGGUAGUCCACGCCGUAAACGAUGACUACUAGGUGUCGGGGAGCAAAGCUCUUCGGUGCCACAGCAAACGCAAUAAGUAGUCCACCUGGGGAGUACGUUCGCAAGAAUGAAACUCAAA